rnacentral:lncRNA from 1 species
AGGUAGGAGAGAAAGAAACCAGGAGAGCUAAGGAAGGGGCGUGAAAAAAGCCUCACAGCUGCCCUGAAGCAGUUUUUGCCCUGUUCAGAAAGGAAGAGGUUUUGCAGUGGUUUUGUCAACCAAGCGGCAUCUGCAGUCUCAUUGCUGUUGGUGACCUCUGUCUAAUUAAAAGUGAUAAAAAGGAAAAUUAUCUAUCUGCAGUAAGGAACAACAUCUCCCGAGCCGAGUCCGCACCUUCAGUUGCAACGAUUCAGAGAUUCCUUCUUGCAAAAGCCAUGAAGGAGAUGUCUCGUGAUGAAUACUUUCUUCUAUAACACCAUAUUCACAGUGCUUCUCAUGUUAUAGUGGACGGCUCUGAAGGAAGCAGAUGUGAGAUUACCUUUAAAUUCCGUACAGG